rnacentral:rRNA from 1 species
UACGUAGGAUGCGAGCGUUUGUCCGGAUUUAUUGGGCGUAAAGCGAACGUAGGCGGUUUCUUAAGUUUGGUCUUAAAGACUGGGGCUCAACCCCAGGAGUGGACUGAAUACUGGGAGACUAGAGGAGUGUUAGAGGAAAGUGGAAUUCCAAGUGUAGCGGAUGAAUGCGUAGAUAUUGGAGAACACCAGUGGCGAAAGCGGCUUCUGGGACAUUCCUGACGCUGAGGUUCGAAAGCUCGGGGAGCAAACAGG